rnacentral:tRNA from 2 species
UCGGGAUAGCUCAGCUGGUAAAGCAAAGGACUGAAAAUC